UACGUUAGGGGGCAAGCGUUGGUCCGGAAUCAUUGGGCGUAAAGAGCGUGUAGGCGGCCAGAUAAGUCCGCUGUGAAAUCUCGAGGCUCAACUUCGAGCUGUCGGUGGAAACUGUCUGGCUAGAGUCCGGAAGAGGAGAAUGGAAUUCCUGGUGUAGCGGUGAAAUGCGCAGAUAUCAGGAAGAACACCCGUGGCGAAGGCGGUUCUCUGGGACGGUACUGACGCUGAGACGCGAAAGCGUGGGGAGCGAACAGG
rnacentral:rRNA from 1 species